rnacentral:tRNA from 1 species
UUUAAAAUAUAUAAAAGAUAUAAUAUUUUUUAUUAUUUAAUAAUUCAAACGAUAUUUCUGUAAUUAAAAAAAAAAACUAAGAUUAUUAAUUCAUAUUUUUAUUUCUAUUAUAAAAAUGCAAUUGAAAAAUUUUUAAAAACACUUAAUGUUUUAAAUUCAUACAAAUAUUUAUUUUGUUUAUAAAGCAAACUGCAUUAAUAUUAUAUAAUAUUAUAUAAUUUUAUUAAAUUUAGAUUGUUUUUUAGAAA